CACCUCCUCCUCGAGGUUCCCAUUGAGGAAUGUAAUUUUCAUAUCCACUACCAUAUUUCAUAAUUAUAGUGUGCUAUAAUAGCCAAUAGAAUUCGGAUGGAUUUUAGCAUUGAUAUAUGAUGCUUCCCCUAAGUUCUUCAUGGAGAAGUGUUUAGAUAACCAAGUCUUUACUAUGUAUAGCAUUCCUACAUCAUUCCCAAUGAUUAUGAUGUCAUCCACAUAUAAC
rnacentral:lncRNA from 1 species